UCCGCUUCGUCCUCCAGUCGGCGUGCUGCGGCGCGUCGAUCUGGAUCUGCCCACGAGCGCACAAGCGUCCACCACAUCGGCUCGCCUCCUUCGGCAUGCCACCUCCGCCCACAUCCUCCAAGGGGGCUGGUCCCUCACAUCUUCGUCCGUGGCUCGGGAGCUGCCCCAAACUGCAGCUGCUUCCCCUUCACCGUCAAGCACUGCCGGCCUGCCCCCUGUACCUGGCGUGUGUGGUCGCGUCCCCUUCCCCAUCUGGACCCGACGAUGUCAGCCUGCCCCUUCACUAGCGCACGGCCGUGCCUUCCACCUCUCCUGUGAAGGUUUUCUUGUUCUUCUUGUGGAUCGUUUAAAUCAAAUGGAUCAAGACCCCAAUGCUGCCCUCUAUCAUUGUCACCUCCAUCCACUUCAUCAGUCUAACCUGCAACUUGAAAGAUGAGGCCAGCUACAGGUGCAUAAUAAAAAGAGCAAGAACACAUAGGAACAAGAAUCUGAGCACACUCUUUUUUGGAGAUGCAAGAGAAGAAACCAGUAUCUGAGCACUCACAUUUUAGGAGAGAUAGAAGACAGGACAUGGAGAAAUUUCAGCAACCUAAGGUAUUCAAUCAUGCUCCGGACACCAAAAACACCUAGCUGCCAGCACCUGUUGAACUAUUAGUAAUUUGGUGACUAAGGUCACUUGUGAGAUAGGAAUGUGAGAUUUCCAUUUGUUUAAUUUAUCUGAGAUAACUUUGUGACUAAGUUCACUUGUUGAACUAUAGUUUGGUGUUCGUGAGGAAUGUAAUAAAUAUAUUG